AUUGAACGCUGGCGGCAUGCCUUACACAUGCAAGUCGAACGGUAACGGGCCUUCGGGUGCCGACGAGUGGCGAACGGGUGAGUAAUGUAUCGGAACGUACCUUUCAGUGGGGGAUAACGUAGCGAAAGUUACGCUAAUACAGCAUAUUCUGUGAGCAGGAAAGCAGGGGAUCGCAAGAUCGUGCGCUGAUUGAGCGGCCGAUAUCAGAGUAGCUAGUUGGUGAGGUAAAGGCUAACCAAGGCGACGAUCUGUAGCGGGUCUGAGAGGAUGAUCCGCCACACUGGAACUGAGACACGGUCCAGACUCCUACGGGAGGCAGCAGUGGGGAAUUUUGGACAAUGGGGGCAACCCUGAUCCAGCCAUGCCGCGUGAGUGAAGAAGGCCUUCGGGUUGUAAAGCUCUUUCGGCCGGGAAGAAAUCGUAUGGGUUAAUACCCUGUGCGGAUGACGGUACCGGCAUAAGAAGCACCGGCUAACUACGUGCCAGCCGCCGCCGUAAUAC
rnacentral:rRNA from 1 species